UACGUAUGGUGCAAGCGUUAUCCGGAUUUACUGGGUGUAAAGGGAGUGUAGGCGGGAUGGCAAGUUAGGUGUGAAAUGCGGAGGCUCAACUCAUGGCCUGCAUUUGAAACUGUUUUUCUUGAGUACUGGAGAGGCAGACGGAAUUCCUAGUGUAGCGGUGAAAUGCGUAGAUAUUAGGAGGAACACCAGUGGCGAAGGCGGUCUGCUGGACAGCAACUGACGCUGAGGCGCGAAAGCGUGGGGAGCAA
rnacentral:rRNA from 1 species